GUAUAAACAACAUUUGAAGGCCUACAGUGUGUAUAGAGAAAACCUCAUCACAAGAUCAUAAGUGUUAACAGUUUUAGGGAAUCAGGAUAUUCUAUUUAAUAGAGCUAUAGUAGAUGUAGUCAAUUAAACCUGAUCUCAGAGCUCCAAGAAGCUGAGCAAAACAGGGAAAGAUUGUUAUAUUUGUCUUCAUGAAAUUGGGAUGGAAUUGCUAUGCAGAAUUGAGGUUUGUGGUUUCACUGUUCAUCUUAGGGUGCAUGAUAAGAUCCCUUUUCUUGAGAAGGGAAAAAAUUGAUCACCCUGGUUACAGUGAUGCAUAGAAACCGAUUGUAUCCACACUAGUCAAUUGAAGCUAAAGGAUUUUCUUUUUUGUUUCUUUGGGGUUUUACUGAACGGGCUGGGGUGGGAAGGGAUUCUUUUCAGUUUUGUAUAAAAACGAAGUUUACUCAUGCUUUAUAUUAUUGUGAUUGCAAGCGUUCUAAGCGUGUGCCGCUGGACCCCUCUUGUUGAUGCUCUCAGUAACGGAGGCCUGUGGCAAGUUGUGUGGUGACUUGGGCAUGUCUUAUUCAAAAACAAAAACACAGAAACCUUUCUUCCGCAGACCAAGGCAAGCAGCCGUCUCAUGACUCACUUAACACAUUGCAGUGUACCAGUUUACAGAUGAUUUUGCCCUUUUUUGCGUGACAUGGCAGUUCCAACCCACAGAGAAUCCCUUGUUUGUAAAUUGGAGGUUUGUACUAUGCCUUACAGAGCUUAAAUUCAGAAGUUUGUGCCUCAUAUCUGAAACAAAGGGAAAUAACACACCCAUUCAAAAGUAAAUAACUCCCUUCAAAGUUGUUUGUUUUUCGAUACAUUUUCAUAUAAAGAGCUCUGUUGAAUGUCAUGAAUUGAGUGGGGGAGAAAAUAUUCUAGAAACCUGCAUAUGUUGUUUACUAGCAGAUGACAUCUACAAAAGGUAUUUGAAGAACACCGAAACUUGUAAUUUUUUGUAGAUUAGCUAGCAGGUCUGAUAUUUAAAAAGGUAAUUCAGCUAAAGGACAAUUUACUUUUUGUACUUCAGACUAUCUUGAUUGUCAAGGUGUACGAACUGUAAUUUUAAAAUUUAUACUGCCACAUGAUUGUAAAUUUUAGUUGUCUUAAGUUAGUAAUGGGUGAAAAGCUAUUUAUGCUGGAUAUGGGUCAAAAAUGACUAUUAUUUGCCUUAAAAUUAAAUAAGGGUUUAAAACCACUUAAUUGGUAAUUGACAACAUCUCAAUUGACAGAUAAGGUGUGCUUGGUAUACAUAUUUUCUUCCAAAGACUUUUCUUUGGUUAGAAACACACAAAAAUUGAAACUAGUAAUAUUGUAUGUUUAUCUAUCUCUACAUAUUUCCAGCAUAUGUAGCAUUAAUAGAUCUGUCCUGGUAACUAUGUCUUUGGGAUUUCAUUUUGAUUCCAUCAAUUUAGGAAA
rnacentral:lncRNA from 1 species